GUGGCAGCCGCCGCGGUAAAACCAGCACCUCAAGUGGUCAGGAGGAUUAUUGGGCCUAAAGCAUCCGUAGCCGGCUUUGUAAGUUUUCGGUUAAAUCUAUAUGCUCAACAUAUAGGCUGCCGGGAAUACUGCAAAGCUAGGGAGUGGGAGAGGUAGACGGUACUCCGUAGGAAGGGGUAAAAUCCUUUGAUCUAUGGAUGACCACCUGUGGCGAAGGCGGUCUACCAGAACACGUCCGACGGUGAGGGAUGAAAGCUGGGGGAGCAAACCGGAUUAGAUACCCGGGUAGUCCCAGCUGUAAACUAUGCAAACUCAGUGAUGCAUUGGCUUGUGGCCAGUGCAGUGCCGCAGAGAAGUCGUUAAGUUUGCCGCCUGGGAAGUACGUACGCAAGUAUGAAACUUAAAGGAAUUGGCGGGGGAGCACCACAAGGGGUGAAGCCUGCGGUUCAAUUGGAGUCAACGCCAGAAAUCUUACCCGGAGAGACAGCAGGAUGAAGGUCAAGCUGAAGACUUUACCAGACAAGCUGAGAAGUGGUGCAUGGCCGUCGCCAGCUCGUGCCUUGAGGUGUCCUGUUAAGUCAGGUAACGAGCGAGAUCCUUGCCUCUAGUUGCCACCAUUACUCUCAGGAGUAGUGGGGCGAAUUAGCGGGACUGCCGUAGUUAAUACGGAGGAAGGAGAGGGCCACGGCAGGUCAGUAUGCCCUGAAACUCUGGGGCCACACGCGGGCUGCAAUGGUAGUGACAAUGUGUUCCGAAUCCGAAAGGAGGAGGUAAGCCUCAAACGCUACCACAGUUAUGACUGAGGGCUGCAACUCGCCCUCACGAAUAUGGAAUCCCUAGUAACUGCGUGUCAUUACCGCGCGGUGAAUACGUCCCUGCUCCUUGCACACACCGCCCGUC
rnacentral:rRNA from 1 species